UGGGGAAUAUUGCACAAUGGAGGGAACUCUGAUGCAGCGACGCCGCGUGAACGAAGAAGGCUUUCGAGUCGUAAUGUUCUUUUAUAUGGGAAGAUAAUGACGGUACCAUAAGAAAAAGCCCCGGCUAACUACGUGCCAGCAGCCGCGGUAAUACGUAGGGGGCUAGCGUUGUCCGGAAUCACUGGGCGUAAAGGGUUCGCAGGCGGAAAUGCAAGUCAGGUGUAAAAGGCAGUAGCUUAACUACUGUAAGCAUUUGAAACUGCAUAUCUGGAGAAGAGUAGAGGUAAGUGGAAUUUUUAGUGUAGCGAUGAAACGCGAAGAUAUUAAAAAGAAUACCGGUGGCGAAGGCGACUUACUGAACUAAUUCUGACGCUGAGGAACGAAAGCGGGGGUAGCAAACAGG
rnacentral:rRNA from 1 species